AGAUCCGUGUCCGAGGGUUCUGGCCCGGGCGCAUGUCAGAGGAGAGUAGCCCAAUUCAGGGUCCUGUAAGAAAACUGAACCGGAUCCCCGCCGGAGAAGAAAAUCCAGUUCGGGGGUUCCUGUUUGAGGGGAGAGGUCAGGUCUCUGGGUCCCCGAGUGAAGAAACAAGCUAGGUCGACAUUCUUGUCUGAUGGAGACACGGUGAACCCGGAGCCCGUGGAGUUACCUCAUACCCUCACUCACCGAGGAGGCCGUGACGUCCAAAGGCUUUUUCCUACGGUCCAUGGUCGUGGCAGAGGGUCCCGGUCCAGGAAGGACCCUUUCUACCCGACACAGGCCUCGUAAGCCUACCUCCGUCGCAACCGGAAGUGUCUUCGACAGCGACACUGAGUUUGCGUGAGUUUGCGACGCGAGUUUGUCAGCUCAGCGCCAUCUUGAGAAGGUCAGAGUGUGGUGCGUAUUACGUUCACCAUCAUUUUGGAAAGGUCAUAGAGUGCGGAGGUUGACGCUAACUGCUAAGGUCAUCUUGAGGGCGGAAGGUAACAAGGAUUGGUGUGGGCGCCAUCUUGAGAAGGGCGGAAUAAAGCUUUUGAUUGCGAUGGACGCCAUAUUGGGUGGGGCGGAUGUGGGGUUGGCGACAAAGAUAACGCCAUCUUGGGGAAGGCUGACGCUUAAGUAAGUGAACUCGAGCGUCUCGGGAAAGGUGGAUUGGGAGGACCGGAAGAAUCUUAACUGCAAUUCCAGGACCUGCUGCCUGGCACUUUUCACACGUUAAAUAGUUGGUUCUUAAAAGAGCGUACGAGAUAAGGAUUAUUAUAUUAAUCUUAGUAGAAAUAACAAGAAUAAUAGCUAACAUUAAUGUAGUGCUUAUUAUGGGCCACUUUACAUAUUUCAGCUCUUAAGAACGUGAACUCCUGGGCCGGGCGCGGUGGCUCACGCCUGUAAUCCCAGCACUUUGGGAGGCUGAGGCGGGUGGAUCAGGAGGUCAGGAGUUUGAGACCAGCCUGACCAACAUGGUGAAACCCCGUCUCUGCUGAAAAUACAAGAAAAAAAAAAAAUUAGCCGAGCGUGGUGGUGCGCGCCUGUAUUCCCAGCUACUCAGGAGGCUGAGGCAGAAGAAUCGCUUGAACCUGGGAGGUGGAGGUUGCAGUGAGUCGAGAUCAAAAAAAAAAAAAACAAAGAACACGUGAACUCGAAAGCUGACUUUCUGGGUUGGAAUCGCUCUUCACGGCUUACUGCUUGUGUGACCUUGGGCAAGUUACUUAACUUCCGUGUGCCUCAGUUUCCAAAGGGGGAUAUAAUUUUAUUUACCUAAUGGGUCUUAGUGAGGAUUAGAUGAGUUAAAUGAGCUAGUCUUGAUAAAAAUGUUAAUGAUUAUGGUAGACAGACCAAUCACCCUCACCCCGACUCCCAGAUGUCUACCUUCUAAUCCCCAGAAUCUGGGUAUAUGGUGACCUUUAUAUAGCAAAAGAGAAUUGGCAGAGAUGAUGAAAUUAAAGCGAUUGAGAUGGGGAGCUAGCCUGGAUUGUGCAGGUGGGUCCCCUAUCAUCAAAACCAUCCUUAUAAGGGGUAGACAGGAUGGCCAGAGUCAGACAGAGAUCAGAGAUGCUUUGAAGAGGGAGAGUGGGACCACAUGCCUAGGUAUGCAGGAGGCCGCUAGAAAAAGCAAAGAAAUGAGCCCUCCUCCAGAGUCUCCAGAAGGAAUGCAGCAUUGCUGACACGGUGAUUUUAGUCUUGUAACACUCAUCUCAAACUUCUGACUUCCAGAACUCUACCAGAAUACGUUUGUGUUGUUUUAAGCCACCAAACUUGUGGCAAUUUGUUACAGCAGCAAGACGAAAGUGAUCAUAAUGAUUGUAACAGUGGCAUUUAGUAUAUGUGGGGCAUGUGUAUGACUCUUUGCAUAGAUUAUAUUAUAUAAUCCUUGCAAGAAUCCUAGAAGCGGACCUAUUAUCCACCAUAUUAGAGAGAAGAAAAAUGAGACUCAUCACAUCCUCAUCUCAUCUGUCUUUAUGGAGAAAAUGGGAAAAGGGAAAAGGAGAGGGGAAUUGAGGCAGUUGACUGUGUUCAGUCUUAUUUAUUUAUUUUCAUUUGUUUAUUUCUCCAAGUCCGCCAGUCUCUGAAAUUAGAACAGUAAGCAAUAUGAGAUAAUCGGGCCUAAUAAUGUUGUGAUUCUCUUUUCUUAAUGGAGUGGAAUGUUCUGUCCCCACAAGAAGGAUUAUACCUUAUAGACUUGUCUUGUUCAGAUUCUGUAUUUACCCAUUUUACUGAAACACAUACUAAAUUCCAUGUGUUUUUGUUACAAAUCUUCUGAAAGAAAAUGUGAAACAUUAAAAGGUAUUAAUAAUAAUUUUUUUUAAAAGGAAAAAAAAUGAGGCUCAGUUGCUUAAAUGGCAUGCCAGGGGUCAUUUCCCAGCUAGCAAGUGAAGGAGCCUUCAGUUAAAAAAUAACUCAAAGACAUUGAGUUAAUUAUUGGCGUGUUAUUUACUUGUAACUAGUGGAACCAGUAUAGACUGACUUCAUCUCAGAAAGCGAGGAAAGGAUUUAUAUAGAAGAAACACAGCUUCUAAACUAUGAAUGUUGGUUUUUUUGCCUAGCUGGACCCUGGCAAUGAAGCCAGUGAGUGUUCUGAUCCUGGAAAGCUAGAAAGAAAGUAAUUCUAGUUGCACGUGAAUGUCCCUGAAGACCAUGAGAAUUUAGCUUCCUCUGCACGAUGCCUGUCAGGGUCCUUGGUUGUCAUCUCCAUCUUAGCGAUGCAGUCUUUUAGGUGCUUUAAAUAAAGGGGGAGAGAGGAAAUCUUCUGAAGCAGAUGACAAUUAUUUCCCCCAAGCACAGCCACCAAGCCAUGCUCUUAUUUUGAAUGAUCUGCGUCAUUUUCCAACAUGAAGCCUCAGAAGGACAUGAUUACAGGCUGGACUCACCGACUGUAGCCUGUGCAGCUAUUGUAAUGUUUUAAUCAGUGAUUAAGUCAAGAGGUUUAAUUUAGUACCGGGCUCCGUUAAGCUUGUGAAAAUGGUUUUCUGCCUCCUCAAACUAAAAAUGUGUCUCUCCCCCAUGUGUCCAGCCCGAAGCAUCUUAACCUUUGUUCUAUCUUCAACACCGCUGGCUCUAACAAAUUACUCAGCAGUGAAUGAA
rnacentral:lncRNA from 1 species